rnacentral:rRNA from 1 species
UACGUAGGGUGCAAGCGUUGUCCGGAAUUAUUGGGCGUAAAGAGCUCGUAGGCGGUCUGUCACGUCGGCUGUGAAAUCCCGAGGCUCAACCUCGGGUCUGCAGUCGAUAUGAGCAAACUAGAGUGUUGCAGGGGAGACUGGAAUUCCUGGUGUAGCGGUGAAAUGCGCAGAUAUCAGGAGGAACACCGGUGGCGAAGGCGGGUCUCUGGGCAACAACUGACGCUGAGGAGCGAAAGCGUGGGGAGCAAACAGG